GGGACACGUGGUAUCCUGUCUGAAUAUGGGGGGACCAUCCUCCAAGGCUAAAUACUCCUGACUGACCGAUAGUGAACCAGUACCGUGAGGGAAAGGCGAAAAGAACCCCGGCGAGGGGAGUGAAAAAGAACCUGAAACCGUGUACGUACAAGCAGUGGGAGCCUCUUAAUGGGGUGACUGCGUACCUUUUGUAUAAUGGGUCAGCGACUUAUAUUCUGUAGCAAGGUUAACCGAAUAGGGGAGCCGAAGGGAAACCGAGUCUUAACUGGGCGUUAAGUUGCAGGGUAUAGACCCGAAACCCGGUGAUCUAGCCAUGGGCAGGUUGAAGGUUGGGUAACACUAACUGGAGGACCGAACCGACUAAUGUUGAAAAAUUAGCGGAUGACUUGUGGCUGGGGGUGAAAGGCCAAUCAAACCGGGAGAUAGCUGGUUCUCCCCGAAAGCUAUUUAGGUAGCGCCUCGUGAAUUCAUCUCCGGGGGUAGAGCACUGUUUCGGCAAGGGGGUCAUCCCGACUUACCAACCCGAUGCAAACUGCGAAUACCGGAGAAUGUUAUCACGGGAGACACACGGCGGGUGCUAACGUCCGUCGUGAAGAGGGAAACAACCCAGACCGCCAGCUAAGGUCCCAAAGUCAUGGUUAAGUGGGAAACGAUGUGGGAAGGCCCAGACAGCCAGGAUGUUGGCUUAGAAGCAGCCAUCAUUUAAAGAAAGCGUAAUAGCUCACUGGUCGAGUCGGCCUGCGCGGAAGAUGUAACGGGGCUAAACCAUGCACCGAAGCUGCGGCAGCGACACUAUGUGUUGUUGGGUAGGGGAGCGUUCUGUAAGCCUGUGAAGGUGGCCUGUGAGGGUUGCUGGAGGUAUCAGAAGUGCGAAUGCUGACAUAAGUAACGAUAAAGCGGGUGAAAAGCCCGCUCGCCGGAAGACCAAGGGUUCCUGU
rnacentral:rRNA from 1 species